AUACGAAGGGGGCUAGCGUUGCUCGGAAUUACUGGGCGUAAAGGGCGCGUAGGCGGACAGUUUAGUCGGAGGUGAAAGCCCAGGGCUCAACCUUGGAAUUGCCUUUGAUACUGGCUGUCUUGAGUUCGGGAGAGGUGAGUGGAAUGCCGAGUGUAGAGGUGAAAUUCGUAGAUAUUCGGCGGAACACCAGUGGCGAAGGCGACUCACUGGCCCGAUACUGACGCUGAGGCGCGAAAGCGUGGGGAGCAAACAGGAUUAGAAACCCUAGUAGUCC
rnacentral:rRNA from 1 species